CUGGUGUCAGCCGCCGCGGUAAUACCAGCACCCCGAGUGGUCGGGACGUUUAUUGGGCCUAAAGCAUCCGUAGCCGGUUCUACAAGUCUUCCGUUAAAUCCACCUGCUUAACAGAUGGGCUGCGGAAGAUACUAUAGAGCUAGGAGGCGGGAGAGGCAAGCGGUACUCGAUGGGUAGGGGUAAAAUCCGUUGAUCCAUUGAAGACCACCAGUGGCGAAGGCGGCUUGCCAGAACGCGCUCGACGGUGAGGGAUGAAAGCUGGGGGAGCAAACCGGAUUAGAUACCCGGGUAGUCCCAGCUGUAAACGAUGCAGACUCGGUGAUGAGUUGGCUUAUUGCUAACUCAGUGCCGCAGGGAAGCCGUUAAGUUUGCCGCCUGGGGAGUACGGAAGGAAGACAGAAACUUAAAG
rnacentral:rRNA from 2 species